GUAUUAAAAGAUUAUUUUUUAUGUAAUCUCAAAAUGAGUUCAGUUCAAUUUAAUAAAGGAUAAGAUAAUUUGCUGGGGACGGCUAAAAAAAAUUUUAACCAUGUUUAAUCCCCAACAUUACAUACGGUCAAAGCCAGCACAAUGGGAAGAAGCUUCAAUGAUGAAGACUCACUUCAGUAAUGAUCCUUCCGCAGGUUCACCUACGGA
rnacentral:misc_RNA from 1 species